rnacentral:rRNA from 1 species
UACGUAGGUGGCAAGCGUUGUCCGGAUUUACUGGGCGUAAAGGGCGUGCAGGCGGUCUGCUAAGUCUAGGGUGAAAGCUCCCGGCUCAACUGGGAGAGGUCCUUGGAUACUGACAGACUUGAGGGAGGCAGAGGAGAAUGGAAUUCCCGGUGUAGUGGUGAUAUGCGUAGAUAUCGGGAGGAACACCAGUGGCGAAGGCGGUUCUCUGGGCCUUACCUGACGCUGAGACGCGAAAGCGUGGGGAGCGAACCGG